rnacentral:rRNA from 1 species
UACGUAGGAUGCAAGCGUUGUCCGGAAUUAUUGGGCGUAAAGAGUUCGUAGGCGGUUGCCUAAGUCUGGUGUUAAAUACAGGAGCUCAACUCCUGCAUGGCACUGGAAACUGGGCAGCUAGAGUGUGGUAGAGGUCACGGGAAUUCCAGGUGUAGCGGUGAAAUGCGUAGAUAUCGGGAGGAACACCUGUGGCGAAAGCGGCUCACUGGACCAUUACUGACGCUGAUGCUCGAAAGCUAGGGGAGCAAACAGG